CCCUUGAGGCGGCCUAGAAUGGACAGGGGCAACGGUCGCAUACCCAUUGGAGGUGGGAGUCGAAGGUGAACCUGUCAUUGAAGACCACCCCGAGGG